GUCAAAGUUGGCAAAUUCCUUGAGCUGAGGGUCACAAAGACAGGAAGGACGUUAAGAGACGACAUACAGCGAAAAAAACCGACCGCAAUCGAGUUGAUUUGAUUGCGGUACCUCUUCCAGCCUGUCGAGGGCGUCGUUGAGUUUCCGCUGGCGGUCGAGGGCCAGGAGCCACACCUGCUGCCAGCGCGAGCACAGCUGCUGGGGGUGUCGGAUGGUUUCCUCUUGUAUGUUUUGGUGACACGAUCAACAUCAGGCUGCUUCCUAGUCAUCUCCUCCAUAAACACCUGAGAUGUCCACAGUCGGCUGGCCAGACCCAGGGAUCCCCUCCCCACUGCCUCACCUGCUUGUGGGCCUGUUGGAGACGCG